ACAGAGGGGGCAAGCGUUAUUCGGAAUUAUUGGGCGUAAAGGGCGCGUAGGCGGUUUUGUAAGUAGGAUGUGCAAUCCCCGAGCUUAACUUGGGAACUGCAUCCUAGACUGCAAGGCUAGAGUGCUGGAGAGGGUGGUAGAAUUCCACGUGUAGCGGUGAAAUGCGUAGAGAUGUGGAGGAAUACCAGUGGCGAAGGCGGCCACCUGGACAGUAACUGACGCUGAGGCGCGAAAGUGUGGGGAGCAAACAG
rnacentral:rRNA from 1 species